GAUGAAGAACGUAGCGAAAUGCGAUAAGUAAUGUGAAUUGCAGAAUUCAGUGAAUCAUCGAAUCUUUGAACGCACAUUGCGCCCCCUGGCAUUCCGGGGGGCAUGCCUGUCCGAGCGUCAUUUCUGCCCUCAAGCACGGCUUGUGUGUUGGGUGCGGUCCCCCCGGGGACCUGCCCGAAAGGCAGCGGCGACGUCCGUCUGGUCCUCGAGCGUAUGGGGCUCUGUCACUCGCUCGGGAAGGACCUGCGGGGGUUGGUCACCACUAUAUUUUACCACGGUUGACCUCGGAUCAGGUAGGAGUUACCCGCUGAACUUAAGCAUAUCAAUAAGCGGAGGA
rnacentral:misc_RNA from 1 species